rnacentral:rRNA from 1 species
UCGNAGUUAAGGGUGGUUGGGGGAGAGUAAUAAUAGGAUGGGUGACCUCCUGGGAAGUCCUUGUGUUGCACCCCU